rnacentral:lncRNA from 7 species
AGUUAUCAUAGCCUGAUACACUCCAUGCACUCAUGGGUCACAUCACUAAAUCAUGGCCAUGAGUCAUAUUUAGAGCAGGGCUUCAUCUACCCUUGCAGGUUCCAGAGUCUCCACUUCUAUUUCUUUCCCAUGUGCAAAAACCUUCCUUUGGGGUCUGACAGUCUCCUCAGUUGAGCAGGGAGUCAAGGGAGUUUAUGUUUGUGAAGAAACAAAAAUUAGUAACAGGCUACAGAUUAAUUUAAUAAUCUAGAAACAGAUGCCCAUGAGGAUGUGUACUAUAGUAGAGGAAACAGCAACUUCUAUGAUGCCUGUCUUUCUCCCAGGAAAAAUCACCUCUGUCUUGCUUCUGUACAGCUUUGCCAGCUUGUUUUAAGGUAAGUGCAGGAUGGAGGCAGAGAGACACAGAGAUGGAGAGAGAUGGAAGGAAAGAGUGCUGCUGCUAUCGGAGCCUUCUCUGCAUUUCCCCUUCUUCGAGAGAUUAUCCUUGCAGAGCCCUGCAGGAUCCUGGGGACUAGGGACAGGAAGGGACUCUGAAACUCUGCCUGAAAUAGAAAACAGCACAAGAGGCUGCUAUUCCACAAAGUCCCAGGAAGAGUGGGAAAAAGAGAGGAAAAAAAACAUUAAUGUAGGAAGUAAAUCUGCUCAGCGUUUUAUCCCAACAUCCUGUCCUCCUGCUGCUUUUUAUAUGACCUUUUGCACUGCACAGAAUUCAUUACUAUUGUAAAAAACACGGUUUUGUUUCUUAGAAAAUUUCAAGAAAUGUGUGAUCUGUUUUAAAGUAGACAGGAUUCACAAGUGGCAAAAAUAUGUGUUCUUCCAAAUCCUUUUCCUUCAUUAUCAGCUCCAGAAGUUUGCUAAUUAGACCCACUAAACAAAAACACCUCAGCAAUAACACAGUGCAGAAGGAACGGAGAAAACUUCAUAAUUGCAAUUUUAUUUAUUAUUUCACUGCAGGACAGCACAGGAACCUUAACCAGGUCAAGACUUCAUUGUGUCAGGUGCUGUACACACAAAAAAAUAGCAGUUCCUGCUCCAGGAAACGUGAAAUUUUUGCAUGUAUUUAUAGCCAAGCUUGUGGCCCCAUGGUAACUCAUUUAGUGAUUACCUCCACAAAUGCUAGUGAAGGCACCCAGAAACAUAUUUUGCAGGGUACAAACAUCUGUGGUUUCCCUGAGGCUGAAGCCCAGUGUACUUUCCCUGCCACAGAAGGGUAAUAGGGCCUUAGAGUAAAUGGAGUGGAAUAAGGACCAAAACACUUUGUGUUCUUUAAAUGAAAGGCACUUUAUACACACACGUAUGUUUACUGAAAGGCCUUUCAAAGAGGCAUAAUUAUGCAGGCAUCUCUGUGUAAUUCGCCUGGGUCAAUGCUAAUGUUGGAAAGUACUUAUUCUGUGGGUCAGACGAAUUACUGCAGUGCUCAGCCCCUGGCCUAUGUGUAUGUAAUAAAUCACUCUGCAGAAGAACU